UUUCCGUAGGUGAACCAGCGGAGGGAUCAUUACAGAGUUUUCUAAACUCCCAAACCCAUGUGAACUUACCAUUGUUGCCUCGGCGGAGCCUACCCUGUAGCUACCCUGUAACGGGUUACCCGGGAGCGGCCCCACCGGUGGACUUUUUAACUCUUGUUAUUUUAUGUAAUCUGAGAGUCUUAUUUUAAAUAAGUCAAAACUUUCAACAACGGAUCUCUUGGUUCUGGCAUCGAUGAAGAACGCAGC
rnacentral:misc_RNA from 1 species